GACUGCAAAUGUAACACCAAUUUUCAAAAAGGGACCCGGAGGCGAUCCGGGAAAUUACAGGCCGGUUAGCCUAACGUCCGUUCCAGGCAAAUUGAUGGAAAGCAUCCUCAAGGAUAAAAUUGUAAAGCACCUAGAAGAACAGGCCCUGCUGGGAAUGAGCCAGCAUGGCUUCCACAAAGGAUCUUGAGAAUAAAAACGAAAUGGAGGCACCAUUGAUCUCAAUAAACAGGACUUCUCAGCCAUGUACUCCUAGGUGGGUCUUUUAAAAACAAAAUAUUGGAAGGCCACAGUCUGAGGGGAAGACGCUUUCUGCUCCUGCAUGUACUAGGUAAACAGGGCAAACACCUGGCAGAAAAGAAAUGUCUUCCAUAAGGUUUCAGAGGCUGAAAGGGAGGAGCCAACCCAAAUCUGGGGGAAAGAGAAUUCCAAAGUGAAGGGGCAGCAACGGAGAAAGCCCUUCUACGGGCCCUAGUACUAUGGACCUCUCUGAGACCAGUGACCAUAAGAAGGGCAACCUGAGAAGAUCUCACAGGAUGGGACAGGACUGACCGGGACAGGCAUUCCUAAAGAGAUUGCCUAUUUGAUAGACGGUUCUACAAGCUCAUUGUUGAUAAUGUCAAUACCAUGAAGAAAAUUCAGGCCAGUUACAACGUGUGGUACAAAACUGUCUACAAUUGUAAGUGUAGGCGUUUCAAGCUCUGUUCUUAUCUCAUUUGAAAUUGAAAUAUGUUUGCAGUGCUUGAAUGUGGGAAGAUUAAUUAUCACCUCUGUUUCAAAAUAAAAAGCAGUAGAAACCCAUCACAGGUUUUUUGAGGGUUUUUUUUAAGAGUCACAUUGUCAACAGCUAACCAUAGAGGCUUUUCAACAAGAAGAUAAUAGGAAAUAAAAGAAAAGUCUUUUUUUAAAAAGAAAGAAAGAAAGAAAGAAAGAAAUGAAACAAACACAUCCUUCUCUCUAAACAGCAAUGAAGGAAACCUGCUCCUGAAACUGAUGGAGAUUUCCAGCAACACCAGAUUUGAAAUAAAAUUGAUGCCUGAAGUAGAGUUCAAAACAGCCAGAAAUCUUCCUAAGCAAACCAAAUAAUUCAGAAGGCUAUGAGACCACUUGGGUAUAAGAGCAAUCACAAGUGCAUAAGACCAUUCAAACUCAGUUAAGACAAGAUGUAUUUUAGAUAUUUUAGUUUUAUUCAACUACAGGCAGUCAGAUCUAUAACACACUGCCCACAAUAUGUACAAUAAUCAGAAAAGUCACUGUAUUAAGAUCUCUAUAUUUACCUUUUUAAAAAGCUGAACUAUGUGGAGAUAUGCAAGCCAAAAUUUGAAUUGCACCCUGCAGGAGUUAGAUUACCACUCCUUGCAUUUAAACCACUGAAUAUUGACCAUGAGGUCACUAUGUGUCUGGAUAACAAGACUUUUCAUCCACUAUUUUUAUUCAAAAUUACACUUUUAAAAUAGCUGACAUCCAGACUAAGACUAUGUCAGUGCACCAGCAUUUUCUAUCGUGCAACAAGAGAGGAGUGAUUUCUGGUGUUCUUCUCUUUCCUCUGCAGCCACCUGGGUCUCUGAAAUUAUGUCUCUGAGGAUGCUGCAUAGUUUUAGGAGGCACAGGUAGCCUCCUAAAACUACAUUGGGACAUUGAAGAUAAUAAAAAAAGUGCCCCUCGCCCACUGUACAUCAGAAAAUGCUGGCCCAUCAGUGCAGCAUUAGCCUGGAUGUCAUCCAGUGCAAGUUAGGGUUGGAACUAAAAAUUUUCCAAAGUGAAAUUUGAAAGCGAAUUUCAUGGUUCCUCAAGGAAAAACUGAAAAGUGAAGAGGAACACUCAUCUUAUUUUCUUAGAUGGCUUUUUCAAAUAUCUAAAAUGGGACCCAAGAGUGAUGAGCAAGCUGUCUCAUUGAUUUCAGUGGUGGGGUAUGCAUGGAACUGUUACUGGCAGUUUGGUUUGAAUUAGAACCAAACUGCCGGUCUGCAAACCAGUUUGUUAUAACCAGCCAGAGGUUUGGUUCAUGUAGUCAAACCAUAUCAAACCGGUUCAGCCCAGUUUGACCUGGUCUGAGGGUCUAUGCUUAUACAAGGAAAUCUGGUGAAUAAAGGUGACUCCUACCUCUAAAGGAGUUCAAAGGGCAGGUGGAGUGUGGGGGAGAGGGCACCUGACUAGUGGCAGCACAACAGCGGCUCCUCGACAGCAGCCCCUCUAGGCCACACUGGUGCUCCCCCCAUCAAUGUAGGCCAGUGGGGCCUAGAGGGGGCACCACUGCUGAGAAGCCACCAUGCCACUGCCGGUAAGGUGCCCUUUCAUUUGUCCCCUGCCUGCCCUUUGAACCACAAUAGAGGUAGGAAUCCCCUUUGCUUGAAUACCCCACCAGAUUCCCCUUUACAAGCAAAGCCCCUCAGACUGGGUCAAACCAGUUCUCUUUAAACUCAGACCGGCCCCUUGAGGGGGGCUUGGCCAGUUUGAACUCAAACUGAUCGAACUGGGCUGGUUCAAAUCGAACCUGGUUCAGUUUGAGCAGGUUCUGCACACUUUAUUCAAUGGUGCUUAGUCAUAACUAACUUUCUUUGGAUAUACCCCGAUAUGUUUAAGAGAACUACUUGUUUUACAGUUUUGACUGUCAAAUGGGUGAGUUUCAAGAUAAUUUGCAAUUUUUAAUCUCUGUGCUUGAUUUAUGCAUAUUUCCUUAUUGUUUUUCCUGAAUACAUUUUGCAUAUUUUCGAUA